CUUUGCUCUCUUCAUGGCAUGACCAUAUUGUUUUGUUUUAGAAUUCAAUUUGCUUAAGUCUCAAGGAAUACGCCGAAUCAGUCCACUGCACACAGGAAGGUCUGUGCACGCCCUACCAGAGGUCCUGAGUCACUCGGAAGAUACCGAAUUACCCCGCUGCAGACAGGCAGCCACCUGGUUCCACACUACAAAGACACAGAGGACACCAGACCACCAGACCAAGGCUCCCUUCUACCUUCUCUGUUUCCUGGCCAUCAUGGUAUGAGCAGCUUUCUUCCAGCCACACACUUUCAUCAUGCUGCUUCUGAGAAAUAUUCUUGCGGCGCACCCUACCGAGGUCCAGAGUCACACGGAAGAUGCUGAAUCAGGCCACUGCAGACAGGCAGGUCUGCACAUGCCCUACCGAGGUCCCGAGUCCUGCAGAACACGCCAAAUUACCCCACGCCCGGGCAGCAAUCCACUGGACCCCCAUCCCCACUCCUCUGUACAGCCACCUGGUUCCACACUACAAAGACACAGAGGAUACCGGACCACCAGACCACGGUACUGAGUCUGGCUGCUCCUGGCCUGGAGGUAGGGGCUUAUGAGCCACCAUCCCACUGCUCCUG
ensembl:lncRNA